UGACUAGCAUAAUUCAUUUGUGUAGAUACAAUUUCUCACUGAGAGGAUUAAGUAUAUUAUCUGAUGUUUACAUCACGUAGGGUUUGCAAUCGCGCACUAUAUUCUUUUCCGCGAAAUAUUUCGUGUAAUUACUCCCAUUACUCUGAUUGCGUUGUUCCGGAAUCCGGAUACAGAUUAAGUCCGAGAAUUGGUUAGUGUAUUUAGGUUUUAUCAUUAGAAUUAGUCAGCUAUAACUGACAAAAUAAAUAGCGAUAAACUUAGCGCGAGUGGGAUGAACUGUCGCGUCGGUUAGAGAUAUCGGAUUAGAUCAAAUUACAAGGUCGACCACCUAAUAAAACAUGAAUCAUACGUAAGAAACAGAAAAACCUGAUUAAGAUUUCAUCAAAAGUAAUCAGAAAGUUUUUGUUUACUGCCCGCCAUCCGCAUAAACAGCUCAGGAGAUAAGAUGCCUGAAAAGUAAAAUUCUGAGGCGUUGUUUCACAACUUCUGAGUAAAUGCUACUCGUCACAUAAACGUAUAAGCAGACCAAAUAGAAAAAUCACGCUCAAUAGCGGUCAUAGUCCGCGCCAUGUGGGAGCAAAAACAUUUUAACCAUUUUAACAAUUUCAUAAAUGGCUAGAAUGACUUCGUUGCAGGGGAAGAAAAGUAAAACAAAAGGCCAAGACUGCGCGAGACCCCGUUAGGGUGAGGCCCCGGGCGGUUACCAAAGCAAACCAUAUUUCAAAUAACAAAAAAACAAUACCGAAACACAUUAUUUUAUAAUAUAUAUGUACAAAUUCUACUAUAUUAAUGACGAUUUGCAUGCAUUGCAAUAUGCAAAUAUAGUAAAGCUUUGUUUCUCAUUUAUGAUAAGAAAAUAUAUAUUAUAUUACAUAUUA